GACGAACGCUGGCGGCGUGCUUAACACAUGCAAGUCGAACGGAAAGGCCCUGCUUUCGUGGGGUGCUCGAGUGGCGAACGGGUGAGAAACAUGUGAGUAACCUGCCCUGGACUUUGGGAUAACUUCAGGAAAGUGGGGAUAAUACAGGCUAGGAGCUGCUGCUGCAUGGUGGGGGUUGGAACGCUUCGGAGGUGGGGGAUGGACUUGGGGCUUAUCAGCUUGUUGGGGGGGUAGUGGCUUACCAAGGCAUUGACGGGUAGCCGGCCUGAGAGGGUGACCGGCCACAUUGGGACUGAGGUACGGCCCAGACUCCUACGGGAGGCAGCAGUGGGGAAUAUUGCACAAUGGGCGGAAGCCUGAUGCAGCAACGCCGCGUGCGGAAUGACGGCCUUCGGGUUGUAAACCGCUUUCGCCUGUGACGAAGCGGGAGUGACGGUAAUGGGUAAAGAAGCACCGGCUAACUACGUG
rnacentral:rRNA from 1 species